GGGGUUGUGGCUCAGUGAUAGAGCACUUGCCUAGCAUGUAUGAGGCACUGGGUUCAAUUCCCAGCACUGCA
rnacentral:tRNA from 1 species